rfam:Parcubacteria bacterium GW2011_GWB1_37_13 TS41_C0043, whole genome shotgun sequence.
AUCCACAUAAGUGGGUCCUAAGGUAAGCUCGGUGACAGGGACUAAGUCGUAACAAGGCACGGGUAGCGGAAGCUGCUCGUGGAAUAAUUCAAUU